rnacentral:tRNA from 1 species
GCGCUCAUAGCUCAGUGGAUAGAGCAUCGGUCUUCGGAACCGGCGGUCGGGGGUUCGAAUCCCUCUGGGCGCG